UACGUAGGGUGCGAGCGUUGCCCGGAUUUAUUGGGCGUAAAGGGCGCGUAGGCGGCUCUGCACGUCCGUUGUGAAAUCGCCCGGCUCAACUGGGCGGGGUCAGCGGAUACGGCGGAGCUUGAGCAAGCUAGGGGGCAAUGGAAUUCCCGGUGUAGUGGUGGAAUGCGUGGAGAUCCGGAAGAACACCGGUGGCGAAGGCGGCCUGCUGGGCAGUAGCUGACGCUGAGGCGCGACAGCGUGGGGAGCAAACAGG
rnacentral:rRNA from 1 species